AGGAUCGCCCUUCCUACGGGAGGCAGCAGUGGGGAAUUUUGGACAAUGGGCGAAAGCCUGAUCCAGCCAUGCCGCGUGAGUGAAGAAGGCCUUCGGGUUGUAAAGCUCUUUCGGCGGGGAAGAAAUCGCGCUCUCUAAUACAGAGCGUGGAUGACGGUACCCGAAUAAGAAGCACCGGCUAACUACGUGCCAGCAGCCGCGGUAAUAAGGGCGAUCCC
rnacentral:rRNA from 1 species